UAGAAACACUCGAUGACUACAGAUAAC
rnacentral:sRNA from 1 species